ensembl:lncRNA
GCGAUCGGGGGAGAAGGGCCUUAGUCAGGGAGGUGACCAGGAAGCCGAUGGUCACUCUGACAGAGCUCCAGCGUUGUUCUAUGAAGAGAGGAGAACCUUCCAGAAGGACAACCAUCUCUGCAGCACUCCACAAAUCAGGCCUGUUUGGUGGCCAGACGGAAGCCACUCCUCAGUAAAAAGCACAUGACAGCCCGCCUGGAGGACUCUCAGACCAUGAGAAACUAAAUUCUCUGGUCUGAUGAAACAAAGAUUGAACUCUUUGACCUGAAUGCCAAGUGUCAUGUCUGGAGGAGACCAGGCACUGCUCAUCACCUGGCCAAUACCAUCCCUGCAGUGAAGCAUGGUGGUGGCAGCAUCAUGCUGUGGGGAUGUUUUUCAGCGGGAGGAACUGGGAGACGAGUCAGGAUUGGCCCAGCCAGAGCCCUGAACCCGAUUGAACAUCUCUGGAGAGAUCUGAAAACGUCUGUGCACUGACGCUCCCCAUCCAACCUGAUGGAACUUGAGCGGUUCUGCAAAGAGGAAUGUGAGAAACUUCUCAGAAAUAGGCGUGCCACGCUUGUGGAAUCACAUCCAAGAAGACUUGAGGCUGUAAUUACUGCCAAAGGUGCUUCAACAAAGUAUUGAGCAAAGGCUGUGAAUACUUAUGUACAUGUUAUCUUUUUGUUCUUUAUUUUUAACAGAUUUGCAAAAAACAAGUUUUCACUUUGUCGUUAUGGGUUGUUGUGUGUAGAACGUUAAGGAAUAUAAUGAAUUUAAUCUAUUUUGGAAUAAGGCUGUAACAUAACAAAAUGUGGAAAAUUGAAGCGCUGUGAAUACUUUCCGGAUGCACUGUAUGUCUCUAAAACUAGUCAGUCACUAAAUCGCUUAGUACAUCUCACAAAAGUAAACAUUCAUGCCAAUGAUCAUGUCAGUGUCAUCAGAAUGAUAAACUUAGGCUACAGUUUGAGAGUUACUGUAUGAAAAUGCACAAGGCUGCACUUCUAUGGUAUAUAUCAAUGUCAAUACUAUUUUCAUAUUACUGUAUGUGGGUUAUAGAUUGAAAGAGACUGGACAGGAUAGUUUUCUCCAGCUUUUACUACUGCUACUUUAUGAAAGAACCCCCCCCCCCCCAAAUACUUUACAGUAAGAAAAAGACGAGGGGCACAAACGGAAAAAAAAACUAAAUUAGAAAAGCACAGGACACACCUAAGGCACAACUUUGCCCCCAGCACUGUUCUAGCGCUGUCUCUACACAUCCAGACGUCCCGGUCUGUCUGCAAUGUUUUAUACAAAAGGUCUUCUAGAAAUGUGUAAAACUAUGCUUGACAGUUGAUGACAAACCGUUCAACAAUUUUGCAUGUAAAGGCUUAUGCAAGGAACAAAUGCCUAGAUGUUUUGAGGGGUAAGACUAUUCAACCAGAGAGAACCAUCUACUAUAUUUUCAACAUGAGAUGAGCAAUUGAAAAUGUGAAAAAAAGCUGACACUUGUACAUUAUCAAUUGCAAAAUGUACCAAAGCAAUUGCAAUUUGUUCAAAGGAAAUUGGGAGAAAUUGCUUUAAUGAUGUGCACACGUGACUAGAUGAUUUGGAAUUUGUACAAGUGGUAUCAACAAUUGCACUUUUGAUCUGAGAAAUGCACGAAAGAGCCUACAGUUUCCCAGGAAACGUGUGUUUUACUUGUGAUCUAUUCAGGGGAUCACAGAUCUUUGAUGAAGUCUCCACCUGCUGGAUCUUUGAAUAAUAGCACUAGUG